CCUACGGGAGGCAGCAGUGGGGAAUUUUCCGCAAUGGGCGAAAGCCUGACGGAGCAACGCCGCGUGAGGGAUGAAUGCCUCUGGGCUGUAAACCUCUUUUAUCAAGGAAGAAGAUCUGACGGUACUUGAUGAAUAAGCCACGGCUAAUUCCGUGCCAGCAGCCGCGGUAAUACGGGAGUGGCAAGCGUUAUCCGGAAUUAUUGGGCGUAAAGCGUCCGCAGGCGGUCUUUUAAGUCUGUCGUCAAAGCGUGGAGCUUAACUCCAUUACUGCGAUGGAAACUGGAAGACUAGAGUGUGGUAGGGGCAGAGGGAAUUCCCGGUGUAGCGGUGAAAUGCGCAGAUAUCGGGAAGAACACCAGUGGCGAAGGCGCUCUGCUGGGCCAUAACUGACGCUCAUGGACGAAAGCCAGGGGAGCGAAAGGGAUUAGAUACCCCUGUAGUCCUGGCCGUAAACGAUGAACACUAGGUGUCGGGGGAAUCGACCCCCUCGGUGUCGUAGCCAACGCGUUAAGUGUUCCGCCUGGGGAGUACGCACGCAAGUGUGAAACUCAAAUGAAUUGACGG
rnacentral:rRNA from 1 species